GUGUCAGCCGCCGCGGUAAUACGUAGGUGGCAAGCGUUGUCCGGAAUUACUGGGCGUAAAGCGCGCGUAGGCGGGUAUUUAAGUCAGGAGUGAAAACUAUCGGCUCAACCGGUAGCCUGCUCUUGAAACUGGAUACCUUGAGGGUAUGAGAGGAAAGCGGAAUUCCCAGUGUAGCGGUGAAAUGCGUAGAUAUUGGGAGGAACACCAGUGGCGAAGGCGGCUUUCUGGCAUACAACUGACGCUGAGGUGCGAAAGCGUGGGGAGCAAACGGGAUUAGAUACCCCGGUAGUCCACGCCGUAAACGAUGGGUACUAGGUGUAGGAGGUAUCGACCCCUUCUGUGCCGUAGUUAACACAAUAAGUACCCCGCCUGGGGAGUACGGCCGCAAGGUUGAA
rnacentral:rRNA from 1 species